rnacentral:lncRNA from 1 species
GUCCCUCCAGCUCCAAUGCAAACUGGGCAUCCACGGUGCCUAUACGUCGUACCCCCUCAGGACUCAAGACUGCAGAAGCACUGGCCUUGGGCCCAGCCGACCUACAUCCUGACAGGUGGCCAGCAGGUUUUCUUGCCUCCUCCUCCUCUUCACGGAGGUAAUUCUGGAGUCAGGAAGGUGCAUGAAGACAGACAAAGAGUCCCCGGAGAGGCCACUUUCCGAAGCGGGGUCCACUUGGCAAGAAUGAGCCUCUGAUCAGAGAACAUCCCCGAGGACUCCCCAGGCCACUUCCAAACGAGUACUUCCAUGUUCAAG